UUAUGUGAUCGUCUCUCGCAUAUCAAUAAGCGGAGGAAAAGAAACUAACAAGGAUUCCCCUAGUAACGGCGAGUGAAGCGGGAAGAGCUCAAAUUUGAAAUCUUAAAGGGUUUCCCUUUACGAAUUGUAGUUUAAAGAAGUGUUUUCUGUUGAGGUUUUGGUAAAAGUUCUUUGGAAUAGGACAUCAUAGAGGGUGAGAAUCCCGUAUUUGACCUUUACUUUCAACUUUGUGAUACACUUUCAAAGAGUCGGAUUGUUUGGGAAUGCAGUCCAAAAUGGGUGGUAAAUUUCAUCUAAAGCUAAAUAUUGGCGAGAGACCGAUAGCGAACAAGUACCGUGAGGGAAAGAUGAAAAGAACUUUGAAAAGAGAGUUAAACAGUACGUGAAAUUGUCAAAAGGGAAGCGUUUGACACCAGUGUUGUUUUUCUGAAAAUCAAUUAAAGAACUGUUUAUGCUAAGUUGUUUAGACUUUAUCAGCUAACUGUUUAGUUUUGAGCUUUUCUUUAAUGCACUUUUCAGUUAACAAGUCAACAUCAAUUUCUUUUGCUGUAAAAAAGCUUGAGGAAGGUGGCUUGAGAUUCGUCUUAAGUGUUUAUAGCCUCUUGCCUAUGCAGUCGGAGAGAUUGAGGUCUGCAGCGUAGAUCCUUCGGGGCUAAAUGCAUUUGUGCUAAGUUAUAGCAUUUUAUAGACAACUUGUUGACUAUGAUUUGUCUUGUAGCUUACUCGCUUAUGUUAUUUUACCUACGCUUAGGAUGUUGAAUCUGUGCGAGACUAC
rnacentral:rRNA from 1 species